rnacentral:rRNA from 1 species
GACGAACGCUGGCGGCGUGCUUAACACAUGCAAGUCGAACGGAAAGGCCCUGCUUUUGUUGGGUGCUCGAGUGGCGAACGGGUGAGUAACACGUGAGUAACCUGCCCUUGACUUUGGGAUAACUUCAGGAAACUGGGGCUAAUACCGGAUAGGAGCUCCUGCUGCAUGGUGGGGGUUGGAAAGUUUCGGCGGUUGGGGAUGGACUCGCGGCUUAUCAGCUUGUUGGUGGGGUAGUGGCUUACCAAGGCUUUGACGGGUAGCCGGCCUGAGAGGGUGACCGGCCACAUUGGGACUGAGAUACGGCCCAGACUCCUACGGGAGGCAGCAGUGGGGAAUAUUGCACAAUGGGCGGAAGCCUGAUGCAGCAACGCCGGGAGCGGGAUGAUGGCUUUCGGGUUGUAAACCGCUUUCGCCUGUAACGAAGCGUGAGUGACGGUAAUGGGUAAAGAAGCACCGGCUAACUACGUG